rnacentral:tRNA from 1 species
GGGCGCAUUGAUGCGAUCAUCCAAACACAGGCGUCUCUUAAUCAGCGGGUCCCAGGUUCGAGCCCUGGUGCGCCCACCA